AAUCCCUACUUUUUUUGCAGUACAAUGUAACUUUGCUAAGCAGCAGUUUUCUGUUUCUUUGGCAUUCGGUAACCACCAAUAACACAAGCAUGGUCUCGCUCAAAUGGCUCAAGCGUGACCUGUUCAGUAGGCUUGAACUGCUCCUGUAUCAUCUUCUUUACUUCACUUUCAAAUACAGCCUCUGCAGGAACAGUAGAGUCGAUGCAAUUUGCCUUUAUUGAAAUGACAAAAUGGCCUCCAGCUUUCAGAAAGUAUGAAGCAUUCAAUGCUAAAAUCCUUGCCUGAUCAGGCUGUGCGACAUCAGAAAAUAUCACAUCCACCAUGCCAACAAGCAUGCGGUACUUGGCUGGAUGUCUGGCAUCUUCAAUGAUGGGUAUCACAUUUGUUCGCUUCUUUGCCAUAUUAACCAAGUCUCUGCCACUUCUGUGAGAAAAUUCCACUGCAUAGACCACUCCUGUAGGACCAACAACGUCAGACACAUGAGAGACCGUAGUACCAGAAGCUGCUCCAAGGUAGAGAAUCUUAGCACCAGGUUUAAUCCAUAUGUUAUCGACACCACCAAGAAUAGCAGCUGCCAAUUUUGAUCGGAAUGGGUUCCAAAUCCUGUAUUCGAGUUUAGUACCAUCUUCAUUCUGCACAGAGAUCCUCUUCUCAUUAUAGACGGCCUCACCAGGUACUAGAUUUUUAGUGACAAGAGCAUCUUCUUUCCCACCCUUAGCAAUGAAAACUCCUUCAUGUCUAUGAGGCUCUACCACAAUUUUGCUCCCACCUUUCAUUCCACCACCACGUCCACCACGUCCUCUUCCUCCAACACGACCGCCACGCCCACCACGCCCGCCACGCCCACCACCACCACCACGACUUUUCAUGGCACUUCCUCUGUCCCCAAAACCCCUUCCACCUCCUCUACCUCCGCCUCUACCUCUUCCACCAUCACCCCUGCCACCCCUGAAUCCACCACCACUGCCUCGGCCUCUUGGAGGUGCCAUCUCCACUGGACUGAAUACACUGAAACUAGGGAGCGAAGGCUAGCUAACAGAGGG
rnacentral:misc_RNA from 1 species